GGGUUUUGUAUUUGAAGACUGAAAAAUAAAAUAAAAGAAGAUGAAUGAUAUUUUUGCAAACAUAAAGAAGCAUUUUAUUCUAUCCCCUCACCAAGAUUCAUCGAAUCAUCGCCACCCACUAUUCUCUCAUGAAUCAAAUGGCUUUCUCUAUAUCUUAUUGUUGUGGAUCUCUUAUUCUCAAUUCAAAUUCGUUGCACACUAAGUCUAAUUCCAAUUCCCCCAACAAUAAAGUUUCUACCUUUAGGGUUCGUGUUUCAAUGAUUCAUCCCUCUUCCGAUUUCACUAGACGCACUGAACAAGCUUGGUUAAUCUCUCAGCAACCUAGCCCAAUUGGGUGUUCAUCUUGUAACUCAAAAGGGAAUAUUGAAUGCAAAUGGUGUGGCGGUACUGGUUUUUUUAUUCUUGGUGAUAACAUGCUUUGUGAAGUCCCAUCCAGGAACACUAGCUGUAAAAUUUGUGUUGGAAAGGUACCUUUUUGAUCAAAUAUUAUUUGUAUUCACUUCUAUAUUGUUACCGGAAAACGAGGUUGGCGCAAUUUAAUAGUUGUGUGAUCGAAAAUCGGGGCACGACAGUUGUUCCGUUAUGUGGCUCUUAUGAUAAGAUUGUUGCAUAGUGAACAUAAGGUUACUCAUGAUUUUAAAUCCUGGAAACAACAUUUAUGCUUGUGUGAUAAGAUUGUAUUCAUUUACACUCCCUCAGACUCUACUAUGUGAGUGCACUGAGCCACCCUUUUUUAGCUCUAUAUUGUUACUAGAGGAUGAGGUUGGCACAAUUUUAUAGUCGUGUGACCGGAAUCAGUGCAUGAUAGUUGUUUCAUUAUGCGGCUCUUAUGAUAAGAUUACUGCUUAGUAAUCAUGAGGUUACUUAUGAUUUCAAAUCCCGGAAACAGUCUCUCCAUUGUAUUCAUUUACUCUUCUCAG
rnacentral:lncRNA from 1 species